rnacentral:rRNA from 15 species
GUCUAAAAUGACUCUCGGCAACGGAUAUCUCGGCUCUUGCAUCGAUGAAGAACGUAGCGAAAUGCGAUACUUGGUGUGAAUUGCAGAAUCCCGUGAACCAUCGAGUCUUUGAACGCAAGUUGCGCCCGAAGCCAUUAGGCCGAGGGCACGCCUGCCUGGGUGUCACUAA